rnacentral:rRNA from 1 species
AAUGGAGGAAACUCUGAUGCAGCGAUGCCGCGUGAGUGAAGAAGGCCCUUGGGUUGUAAAGCUCUUUCGUCGGGGAAGAAAAUGACUGUACCCGAAUAAGAAGGUCCGGCUAACUUCGUGCCAGCAGCCGCGGUAAUACGAAGGGACCUAGCGUAGUUCGGAAUUACUGGGCUUAAAGAGUUCGUAGGUGGUUGAAAAAGUUAGUGGUGAAAUCCCAGAGCUUAACUCUGGAACUGCCAUUAAAACUUUUCAGCUAGAGUAUGAUAGAGGAAAGCAGAAUUUCUAGUGUAGAGGUGAAAUUCGUAGAUAUUAGAAAGAAUACCAAUUGCGAAGGCAGCUUCCUGGAUCAUUACUGACACUGAGGAACGAAAGCAUGGGUAGCGAAGAGGAUU